rfam:Leuconostoc mesenteroides subsp. mesenteroides ATCC 8293, complete genome.
UUUUAUACGAAGAAAAGAUAAGUAGUGAUUAAUGCAUUUAUAGAGAGCCUGUGUUUGGUGAAAACAGGUAAUGUCAUAUCAUGAAGAUGGUCUUGGAGUUUCGCUUUAGUGAGCGUGGUAAGAUUUUUGAAAUCAAAGCGACGUAAACUAUGGCCGGGAAAGCCCGUUAUAGCUGUUUUGAUUUUCUAAUCCUGUAUUGGAAGACUGAAGUUAAGGUGUGCAACAAAGCAUACGAAUAACGGGUGGUAACACGAGGAAUCGUCCCGCAA